CUGUGGUGUCUUAUCAUUCUUCUAACCCCGAUCAACUCUAUAAAAACGUCGCUUAGGAUAGUAAUUGUCAUUCUAAUUGCAAAUUCGUGAAGUCUUACAUUACAGGAAUGGAACUCAAAACAAUAGUGUGCCUGUUCAGUUUUCAGGUACUUCUUUUGCAUCCAAGUCAAGCAGCCGACUCAGGCUAUGCAUGCAGUAGCACAGGCACUUCAACAUUGCCUAUAAGUUUUGAUCCACAUCUCUACCAAAUAUGUGUGAACGGGACAAGCCAUCAACUUCGGUGCCCUGCCUCCUAUUUGUAUAUCACUAGCAAUGCGGACCUUUGCACUGACAAUUUUUACAUUGGCUGUAGUACCAGUAUAGAAGGUUGCGCUCCUUGCGAAUAUUUUCCAAACAAUCCUGGAACGGCGACUCCUCCUCAAUGUGUUGGAAAUGCACUCUUGAUUGGUCAACCACAUUGCGAUCCCUCUUUCUAUUGGCAUUGCAGUAGUCCUUAUGGAACUCCGGAGCUAAGAAGCUGUCCUGAAGGCCAAGGCUUUUCGAGUUCAACGAGGUAUACUGGCUGUGUUCCAUGGUUUAUGUGGAAUUCUUAAUUUGGUUGCAGUCGUAGCAACUCUUGUAUAACCACAACUUUCCGUAAAACAAUCUAAACGUUUAAUUAUACAUUAUGUUUUUAUUAGAGUGAAAUAUAAAUUCACAACAUAUUGUUACAUAAA